GACGAACGCUGGCGGCGUGCUUAACACAUGCAAGUCGAACGAAGAGCGAUGGAAGCUUGCUUCUAUCAAUCUUAGUGGCGAACGGGUGAGUAACGCGUAAUCAACCUGCCCUUCAGAGGGGGACAACAGUUGGAAACGACUGCUAAUACCGCAUACGAUCCAAUCUCGGCAUCGGGACUGGAUGAAAGGUGGCCUCUAUUUAUAAGCUAUCACUGAAGGAGGGGAUUGCGACUGAUUAGCUAGUUGGAGGGGUAACGGCCCACCAAGGCGAUGAUCAGUAGCCGGUCUGAGAGGAUGAACGGCCACAUUGGGACUGAGACACGGCCCAGACUCCUACGGGAGGCAGCAGUGGGGAAUCUUCCGCAAUGGACGAAAGUCUGACGGAGCAACGCCGCGUGAGUGAUGACGGCCUUCGGGUUGUAAAGCUCUGUUAAUCGGGACGAAUGGUUCUUGUGCGAAUAGUGCGAGGAUUUGACGGUACCGGAAUAGAAAGCCACGGCUAACUACGUG
rnacentral:rRNA from 1 species